rnacentral:rRNA from 1 species
UACAGAGGUCUCGAGCGUUGUUCGGAUUCAUUGGGCGUAAAGGGUGCGUAGGCGGCGCGGUAAGUCGGGCGUGAAAUCUCGGAGCUUAACUUCGAAACUGCAUUCGAUACUGCCGUGCUUGAGGACUGGAGAGGAGAGUGGAAUUUACGGUGUAGCGGUGAAAUGCGUAGAUAUCGUAAGGAAGACCAGUGGCGAAGGCGGGUCUCUGGACAGUUCCUGACGCUGAGGCGCGAAGGCGAGGGGAGCAAACGGG